rnacentral:rRNA from 1 species
CUACGGGUCGCAGCAGUGAGGAAUAUUGGUCAAUGGGCGCGAGCCUGAACCAGCCAUCCCGCGUGCAGGAUGACGGCCCUAUGGGUUGUAAACUGCUUUUCUAUGCCAAGAAACCUGAUUACGUGUAAUCAGUUGCCGGUAGCAUAGGAAUAAGCAUCGGCUAACUCCGUGCCAGCAGCCGCGGUAAUACGGAGGAUGAAGCGUUAUCCGGAUUCAUUGGGUUUAAAGGGUACGCAGGUGGGCUUGUAAGUCAGUGGUGAAAUGCUGCCGCUUAACGGUAGAACUGCCAUUGAUCCUGCGAGUCUUGAGUAUGGUUGAGGUAGGCGGAAUGUGUUGUGUAGCGGUGAAAUGUAUAGAUAUGACACAGAACGCCAAUUGCGAAGGCAGCUUACUAAGCCAUUACUGACGCUGAGGCACGAAAGCGUGGGGAGCGAACAGGAUUAGAUACCCCAGUAGUC